AAGUAAAACCUGCUCCAUGAAAUAAAUAGCUGCAGUUAACUGUACUAAGGUAGCAUAAUCAUUAGUCUUAUAAUUGAAGAAUAGUAUGAAUGGUUAAACAAAAAUACUCUGUCUCAAUAAUGGACACUGAAACUAAAAAGACAGGUAAAAAUUCCCUCACAAAAAAUAAGACGACAAGACCCUAAUAAACUUAUCAUUUAGCUGGGGAGGCUGAAUAAAAACACCUUAACUAACACUAACAAACAACCUACACCACAAGAAUAUCAGUUACUAUAGGGAUAACAGCGCAACCUUUUCUAAAAGCCCUUAUCCAAGAAAAUACCUACGACCUCGAUGUUGAAUCAAUUUUACUAAAUAAAGCAAAAAUUAUUUAAGAAGGUCUGUUCGACCAUUAAACAAUU
rnacentral:rRNA from 1 species